CUGUCAGAGUUUCUUUUUUUUUUAAUACCCCUGUUCGCGAGAAGCCAUCACGUGGGAGGUCCCUUUAAGUUGCCAUUGACGGAGGCCCGAGCGUGUCACAUGGACAUGAUAUCAUGACCGGGCAGGAACACAAGCGAGCGAGGGAGCGAAGCCACUUCUUCUUCUUGGGCUCCGAAGAGGAAUUUAAAAAAAAAAAAGAAUAACGCGCAGUCAUUUCACGACAGAGGGGAUCGAGGAUCCGGAACGCCGGACUCAGGACUUGUCGGUUACACAAUCCACCUGCCAGCAGCUGUGACGCGCCGUAAAAACAAAUUGACGGAGGGAACAUCGCGGUCCCGGAGCAGCAAGCGCCUUUUUGGAGUACAGACGCGACGCAGAUCAAUAUGGAGGAUGAGAUGGACGUCCCAGCGUGGGAUUCGCAGCCUGACACGAGCGUCUUUGUGCCUCGGCGUGUCACUUCCUGGGAAGAGAAUGGAGCGGGAAGCCAGCGGAAGCGCACAGCACACCUCCACAGAGAGGCCUUUUCUUUCGAAAUAUGGUUUGUAUGUGUGAGUGUGUGUGGUGAUGAUAUUUAGCAUCAAAAAGCCUCUUUUAGGGUUUGACUUUUUGUUAAAGGGCUUCAAAGGGGAAAAAAAAACAAUAUACUGGGAGGGUGAAAAGUAACUCUGCACUGGAAAUUGCAUAUAGAAUUUUAGUAUCGCUUAUUUAACAUUUUUUUCAGAGACGACAAUUAUGGGAAUUUCUUAGUCUUAUUUGUUAUUUUUGAUGAGGAGUGAUCAGUAAGUAACAGUUUAAUUUCUUUUUCACAAGUAAUAAAGAACCUGUAUUAUUUGUUUCAAUAAAUGUGCGAUAGGAAUGUACAUUUUAUGACCAAUUUUAAUGGUAACUUUUCACCCACCUCGGACUAUAAAUUGUUGCUACCCAGCACAACAAGAUGGCCAUUUUUGAAGAGUUUUGGUGACAUCUAACGGCGACUCUUUGCAUUGCUAGUGCAUGCUUCAUCACAUGGCAAAGUAGCUGUACAAUCACUGAACUCAAACAAGUUAUUCUAAAAUAUUCAAAUAUACUGAUAUUUGAAUAUUUUAGAAUAACCAAGAAUCAUGUCUUUUACAAUAUGAAUGAUGUUAAUAACAACAAUAAAAUAACGUUUUUUUUAUUACAUCAUAAAUCACAAACUCUACACAAUGCAUUUUAAACUGACUUGCAUUUAUUUUUUUGAGAACACGAAUGAUUUUUUUUCCUUUUCCUGGCUGCUGUUGUGCAAGAGCAAGGGUAUUGGUAAGAUAUUAAUACGAGUAGAGCGUUAUUAACGUUUAUAAGUUACCAAUGAAAUCUUUCCAGCAGCACAAGUCCAAGCCCCUCCCUAAAAAAAUUAUUUGUAUGGAUCACAUUAUGAAUUUGCUUUGUUAUAUUAAAGCACUAUUUCAAUGGGACAUCCAUGUAAAGCAAAAAUUACUUUCGGGUUUGGGUGUGUACCACAUACGUGUGCAUCCAAGCGCACACACGCGGGACUUUCCUCCAUGUGAUUGUAUGCGGUUUUACUUGCGGGGCCAAAUAGUGGGCCAACAAUAAAGUAGACUUGGGGGUUUAUUGCUGGUGUCAGGCUGAAACUUUCCAUAUAUUUUUUUUUGGGGGGGGGGCACAAGGAUUCUUUCUGGCCCUUCUACAACAAAAUGUGACAACUCAUGUUGCACUGCUGCCAUGGCCGCAGUAAUUUUGCUGUGCUGUCACUGAAAACAAAAACAAAAAAAUCACCACCACCUGGCAGCAAUUUAAUACAGACCGACACAUGAAUAAGAGUUUUUCAACUCACUCAGCUGGUUGCAGUAAUAUUGGUCUUUUUUUUUUUUUUUGCAAAGGGUAAAUCAUGCAUGCCUGUGAGUAUUGUUUAUAUGAAUAUUUUCUGUCUACAUGUGUUGCUUCACCGUUUGUGUUCAUACAUAUCCACUGACGUCCAGGUUGUGACACAGUUACAGCGCUGCUAUUUUUUUUCGCCAAUAUAUUCCGAUUUGUGUUGUUAGUUAGCAAAAGCUAUGUUGGUCUUAAACGCAGUGUGUAACUCUUUUCGCUAUGUUUAGUUUGGCAGUCAACUUUAACUUGGAGUGGCAACAAUUGAUGACUAUCUGCAACCCUACAGACCACAAGUUCAUUUGUCAGUGUAAGACCCACCCAAAAACGUCUUCCCCCAGAAGCUGGUUUCAUGUGGUGGUUUAGAUGUAUGUCCCCUCUGUCUAGCACCAUUUGAAAUCAGUGUUCUUGGGGACAGCAGCACACCACAAAACCCCGCCAUGAUGAAGCGUCCGCGAUCAUACGCCUGACAGCCUUCCCAUGUUCCUUUUUUUUUCCACUACCAGAUAACCGAUUUCUUAUGGUGCAUAGAGUCCCCCCCUCCGUCAGAGUCCUUCUAGCACCAUUUGAAAUCGGUUAUAAAACCGUGGAUCACGGCAUCUGUGCACGGAACUCAAGCUGGGAAGUCGACACAAGAAAUGCUGUUUGCAAUGGCUGUAUUGUUUUCAAAUAAAACAUUUGAAUUGAAUGAAAAAG